rnacentral:rRNA from 1 species
GACGAACGCUGGCGGCGUGCUUAACACAUGCAAGUCGAACGGAAAGGCCCCUUUGGGGGUACUCGAGUGGCGAACGGGUGAGUAACACGUGAGUAACCUGCCCUUGACUUCGGGAUAACUUCAGGAAACUGGGGCUAAUACCGGAUAGGAAUCCUUGCUGCAUGGUGGGGGUUGGAAAGCUUCGGCGGUUUUGGAUGGACUCGCGGCUUAUCAGCUUGUUGGUGGGGUAGUGGCUUACCAAGGCUUUGACGGGUAGCCGGCCUGGGAGGGCGACCGGCCACAUUGGGACUGAGAGACGGCCCAGACUCCUACGGGAGGCAGCAGUGGGGAAUAUUGCACAAUGGGCGGAAGCCUGAUGCAGCAGCGCCGCGUGCGGGAUGACGGCCUUCGGGUUGUAAACCGCUUUCAGCAGGGGCGAAGCUUGUGGUGACGGUACCUGCAGAAGAAGCACCGGCUAACUACGUG